CAGUUGAUUGAAGCUGUGUUAAAAGCCAAGUCUGGCAGUGAAGCAGUACUUCAGGAGUACCAAACAACAGAAACCCUAACAGAUAUCACAAGACGACAAAUGGUCAACAUACUGGUGGCUCACAUGAUUGAUAGUCAUGGAAACCUUCCCACUAAAGCAGUCAGAGAGGAAUAUGCUCUUGGCAUAGUGACACUGUUCCCGUCUCUCAAGGAUCCAUACACCAAGAAAGGCUAUGAACACUUCUAUGAUGCUGCUUGUAGUGACGACUAUGACUGGUUAAAUAUGGAUUAGCAAUCACUUCAGGGUGUCGGGUCAGGACAGCAAUUAUUCAUUCAGGUGAGUGCAGGAGAAAUAAUAGAUUGUCCAAGUCCAGAUUUGCAGGUUCAAUUGUAUAUUGAAUUGUUCGUUUGCAUUUGUGUAUGUGUGUGGUUUCCUAAACAAACAAAUACAAUUAUUGUAAAUUAACUAAAGCGACCACAAUACAAUUGAAUAUAGGCACAGGCAUGCAACAUGGCUGUUAAAUAUACAUUACUUAGCUGUGUAUACACAGUUUACAUAAAUCCACAGAAUUUGAACAUCCCAGCCCUAAGUAAUGUAAUAAUUACUAGAAUUUAAAUAGCAUCACAACAAUAAUUCUAAAUUGUCAAUUGGGGCUAACAAACAUGUCCAAUGCUACAAACAGGCCCCAAUAAGGGUAUGAUAUUUAGCUAGCAGUUAGCUUGCGAACCUGAUGCCAAACAGCCAUUAGACAACAAUAAAACUGACCAAAUGAGUUGCAAUAUAGUUUUAAGCACAAAACAGGUUAUAUUAAAGUGUAUAUAAAGUAACUCACUUUGUAUUGACGCACACUGUCAAUUAAACAAAUGACAUCGAAGUUCACCGUAACUUUCAGAGCUUGCUGAUAUAGUGAUGUGUUCAAUGCCCCCUCCAGUGUCGUAAAAGUGAACUACACUCAAGCAACUCAAUGACACAAAAAGAAAACAAGCGUUUCAGAGACAGUCUUUUGUACACUGCUAGUAGCACAGGAUACAUUUCUUGGCGUCUGAAAACAGUCCAAAGGAAAAUUCGGCGUGGAUCUGAGGCGCCAUCAAGUAGCUCUUUGAACCUUUCUUCAGGAGGCCCAAAGUUCCAAAGGAUUGUCAAUGUCGACAAUCAGCUUGAUGGGGAUGCUUGUCAAGAGGCAGUAUCUUUGCUCAACCAUACCACAGACAAUUCCGUGAUUCUCCAGAAGAUGAGAGAGACAUUUCAGCACCGUCAGAAGCUUGUUAAUGACCCAGGUACAAGUGCUGAUAUCCUCUCCAUCUUCCCAAGAUUCCUCGAUACAAAAGGAUUGGUAAGUUUGGAAUGAGAUGUUUGGAGCAGCCUGACAUUUGAAAGUAUUUCCUUCGGUGGUAGUUAAAUAUCUUCUUUCUUAAAGGUGGAGCAAGACUUCAUUCUCCUAUUUGAUGAUGAGACAUCCUCCAGGCUGCUUCAGAAGUGGGAUGUGUUCUUCAAACCAAACAUCAUAAAAGAGGCUAAGCGACUUACUUCAGCACCAGAGUUGCGGCGCUUGUUACAGUCAGCAGAAUGUUCCAUUGGAAGUGAUGAGGCAACCUUACGACCAUGAAAUGGCCUCCCUGUUGUUGCUCAUACAUCUCCUUCCACCACCACCAGGAGGACCGAAGUCUCCAAAAAUCAGUGCAUGUGAUGCCAUUGAGAGACUUGUUGUCUUUCAUAAG